AACGAACGCUGGCGGCAGGCUUAACACAUGCAAGUCGAGCGAGACCUUCGGGUCUAGCGGCGGACGGGUGAGUAACGCGUGGGAACGUGCCCUUCUCUACGGAAUAGCCCCGGGAAACUGGGAGUAAUACCGUAUACGCCCUCUGGGGGAAAGAUUUAUCGGAGAAGGAUCGGCCCGCGUUGGAUUAGGUAGUUGGUGGGGUAAUGGCCCACCAAGCCGACGAUCCAUAGCUGGUUUGAGAGGAUGAUCAGCCACACUGGGACUGAGACCGGGCCCAGGUCCUACGGGAGGCAGCAGUGGGGAAUCUUAGACAAUGGGGGGCAACCCUGGAUCUAAGCCAU
rnacentral:rRNA from 1 species